CCUACGGGUGACAGCAGUGGGGAAUAUUGCACAAUGGGGGAAACCCUGAUGCAGCGACGCCGCGUGAGUGAAGAAGUAUCUCGGUAUGUAAAGCUCUAUCAGCAUGGAAGAAAAUGACGGUACCUGACUAUGAAGCUCCGUCUAACUACGUGCCAGCAGCCGCGGUAAUACGUAGGAGGCCAGCGUUAUCCGGAUUUACUGGGUGUAAUGGGAGCGUAGACGGCGCUGCAAGUCCGGAGUGAAUGCGCAUGGCUUAACCAUGGUACUGCUCUGGAAACUGUGGAGCUUGAGUGCGGGAGGGGCAGGCGGAAUGCCUAGUGUAGCGGUGAAAUGCGUAGAUAUUAGGCGGAACACCGGCGGCGAAGGCGGCCUGCUGGACCGUAACUGACGCUGAGGCUCGAAAGCGUGGGGAGCAAACAGGAUUAGAAACCCCAGUAGUC
rnacentral:rRNA from 1 species